UCGCGAAAACUUCACAAUGGGAGAAAUCCCGAUGAGGGAAUACCAAGUGCCAGCACUUUUGUGUUGGCUGUUCUCCUGUCUAAAAAACAGGAGAAGUAAGGGCCGGGUAAGACGGGUGCCAGCCGCCGCGGUAAUACCCGCGGCCCGAGUGGUGGUCGAUAUUAUUGAGCCUAAAACGUCCGUAGCCGGUCUCAUAAAUCCUUGGGUAAAUCGGCCAGCUUAACUGUCCGAAGUCCGAGGAGACUGUGAGACUUGGGAUCGGGAGAGGUCAGAGGUACUUCUGGGGUAGGGGUAAAAUCCUGUAAUCCUGGAAGGACCACCGGUGGCGAAGGCGUCUGACUAGAACGAAUUCGACGGUGAGGGACGAAGCCCUGGGGCGCAAACGGG
rnacentral:rRNA from 1 species